rnacentral:rRNA from 1 species
AUUGAACGCUGGCGGCAGGCCUAACACAUGCAAGUCGAGCGCGCGGCGGACGGUUGAGUAAUUUAUGGGGAUCUUCCCGAUACUUGGGGAUAACUACUGGCAACUGUGGCUACUACCGCAUACUAUCGCAUGAACCCUUAUGGUAUUAGCUAGUAGGUGGGGUAAAGGCUCACCUGUGCGACGAUCUCUAGCUGGUCUGAUAGGAUGAUCAGCCACACUGGGACUGAGACACGGCCCAGACUCCUACGGGAGGCAGCAGUGGGGAAUAUUGCACAAUGGGCGCAAGCCUGAUGCAGCCAUGCCGCGUGUAUGAAGAAGGCCUUAGGGUUGUAAAGUACUUUCAGCGGGGAGGCGUGACCCGAAGAAGAAGCACCGGCUAACUCCGUGCCAGCAGCCGCGGUAAUUG